rnacentral:lncRNA from 1 species
AUGAAUUCUUUUUUAGAUGCCAAAAUUUAAAAGAAAGCGUAACUGAAAUGAAUGGACUUUUUUUACACAAGGAACCUUAAGUGCAUUAAGGAAGAUGCACAGGCCUGAGAUGAUCUGUCUGAAGCCUGGGACUUAAUUUAAUAAGUUGAAGUUGAGUUAGCACCGUUGAGCCUCUGGGGCCGCAUCUUGCAUCAGAAAGAACACAGCUCGUUAUCAUUCCUGAACUAUGCUCCUCUCAGUCGCUGCGCUGGGUAAUGUGAGGUGACACGUGGAGGAAAACAGGAUCUCUUCCAGCAUAUGUGAAAAGCUGCUGGGAAUGAGACAAAAGGCUGGGGUUAGAGCACUCGACAAAGAGAUCCAUUCACCUCCAUCCAUCAGCAGAGCACCCAGGUGUAGCUGCAACUACGCUGGGAGAGGAGACCCUGCAACCUUUUGAAGCUUUUCUCUGCUGCAUGAAAUAAUUAGAAAUCCUUGAG